rnacentral:rRNA from 1 species
AGCAGCCGCGGUAAUUCCAGCUCCAAUAGCGUAUAUUAAAGUUGUUGCAGUUAAAAAGCUCGUAGUUGAAUUUCGAGAUCAAUUUGUUGGUCGUGCCUCGGUACGUACUGGCAAUUUUGAUUUCUCCCUUCUGAAGAACCAUGAUGUCAUUAAUUUGGUGUCAUGGGGAAUCAGGACCGUUACUUUGAAAAAUUAGAGUGUUUAAAGCAGGCUCGCGCUUGAAUACAUUAGCAUGGAAUAAUGAAAUAGGACGUUUGAUUCUAUUUUGUUGGUUUCUAGGAUCGACGUAAUGAUUAAUAGGGAUAGUUGGGGGCAUUAGUAUUCAAUUGUCAGAGGUGAAAUUCUUGGAUUUAUUGAAGACUAACUACUGCGAAAGCAUUUGCCAAGGAUGUUUUCAUUAAUCAAGAACGAAAGUUAGGGGAUCGAAGACGAUCAGAUACCGUCGUAGUCUUAACCAUAAACUAUGCCGACUAGGGAUCGGAUGAUGUUUAAU